UUACUUUGCAAGAUAAAAUUUUCUAUGUUAUGGGAACAGUUACAGAGGUUGUUGAUAAUCCAAAUUGGUGGUAUUAUUCAUGUGUUUGUGGAAAUGCUGUUGUUGCUGAUGAUAAUACUUAUCAUUGUGAUAUUUGUGACUCAUGUGUGGAACAUGUGGUUUUAAAGUAUAGAAUAACUGGCAUUGUUGAUGAUGGAACAUCAUUUGCAGUAUUUGCACUUGUUGAUAAUGCUGCAACAAAAUUAUUUGGAAAAACUUGUGCCGAAGCUUUCUUGUAUAUAGAGAAAGAAUUCUCCUCAGAUUGAAAUGUUGUCUCAAUGGUUAAUCAAUCUAGCAUCGUCCCCCUAUUUCAUGGAGUUAUUGGAGAUAAGAUAGUGUUCAAAGUUUAGAUGCGCAAUGUUUUUGGACAACAUUAUUUUUGUCAAUUUAAAGUUGUUAAUCUGUUUGGUGAUAUAGCUGGACCAUCUUUGCCUGUUCAGUGUCUUAAUG